GGAGAAACGUAAGCCAAACAAAAUGUCUGAGACUUGAAUUUGGCCCACGGGCCUCCGGUUGGAGACCUAACGUGCAUCUCCUCACAUAUACCCCGUUAUACUUUUCACCGGCCUCUUUCUGUGUGACCUCCCCUCAUCCAUCCAUAGCUGCUGCCAGUCCUUUAAACUUCCCUUUCUUUGCUCAAGAACCUGCCAUAGCUCCCCACAUCUCCUAGAAUGCAGUCCUAUUAGUUUCGAUUCUUCAAACUGAGGUGCGCACCUUUCCCUGAAGGCUCAUCGCUCCCGUUUUUCGCCCAUGACUCGUCUGUACACUUUUGCUCCUGACACCCUGCAAUUCCCACCUUAACGCAUUUGCCCAUGCGCCUUCCUCCUCCAGACUGGGGCUUGGCUCCUAGCAUCCCCGCGAAGUCUUCAGGGACCCACCUUUUGGAGAGCUUGGUCCCAGGAAGGAGGGUCGGGCACAGGGGGAGGGGCGGGGAAUAGAAGGCCAGAAGCAGGUCACCGUGUAUUGGGUGUUGACCACGUCAAUCACCUCUGCUCGACCCAAUAGGCUGAGGUCUCCACUAGCAAAGGCAGAGCGGCGGCCUCAAAAAAGAGGCAAAGCUUUCAGAAGGAAACGUGAGGCAGCGUAAGUGUUAGACAGAGUCCUCAGGGACCUGGAGGAGGGAAUUUUUCAAACCUGAAGUCACACAGGUAAAGGGCCCUUAGAGAUCAAGAAAUGUACUCUGUUUUCCGGGGGAAAACUGAGGCCAGAGGAGGUCUCCGAGAAUUCCCAGAGAAAUUGCUGAAACAGGAAGGUGAGAAGAGAAAGGCAGGAUCUGUCAGAUGUCAGGGUGUCCUUUACAACACUGUCCCCAAAUGAAGAUCCCAUCACUAACCCCAGCUCCGUCCUCUAACCGCCCCCCCGCGCCGGGGAGCCACACGGACCACAAACAUUCCAGCCGCCCGGUCUGAGCCAAAUCUGCGGUCCAGGUGCCCGUUCUGCCCAUCUUGCCUCAUAAGCCUCAAAUCUGGCCCUUGUCUCCCCACCUUCUGUCCCACUCCGACCUUCUCCCUAACCUCCCGACCUGUCUUCUUCGCUCCCUUCACAGCAUAAACCUGCCCCUGCCUCUCCCUUGCUCACAACCUUGCCGUGGCUCCCCAGUGCCCUUGGAAGAAAACCCAAGCCCCUCUCCACGGCCUUCAGGGCCCUGCCAACAUCUCCAGCCUCGUGUCUCCCGGUGACUCUGCUCACUGCCAGCCAUAGGCCAGUUGCUCUAGCUGCUCAUCAUUCUCCCAGUUGCUGCUGAGCUGCUCCUCCUCCAGGAAGCCCUCCCUGGCUAUGACUGGCACCCCCUUGGCCCUCCCCAGCCUCUGCCCACCCCACCCCCGGACCCAGGAUCAUCAUUGAGGAUGCAGCUGCCUUCUCCAUUAGACUGAGCCUGAUGACGGCAGGGCUGGGGCAGUCUUGGUCACCACUAUGUCCCCAGCACAGGGCUGGGCAUACGGGAAGCCCUCAGGGAUUGAGAUUUCCAGACAGGGUUGGUGGGGUCCCCACCCUACCCACUCCCACGACUCAAUAUAUACACUUUGCAACAGACCCCUAUUCUGGCCUCGCUCUUAAGGCAGGAAUGCGGUUCUGCCCCAGACCCUGAAUUUUUCCACACUGACCACUCAAGUCUCUACCAACUCCCCGUUUUCAUUUUAGUUUCCUAUCAGCCCCAUGAAGAACACAAGGGCAGACUCUACCACGCCCCAAGUGGGCAAUUGAGGCACAGUAAACUAAGCCUCUUCCCUACAUACAAUCCUCCAAUGGCUCUCCAGUGCCCUUGGAUGAGAGCCCACCCCUCGCUCACUUUGGCCUUUUGUGAACAAGCUCCUCCGCUCCCCCCCCCCCCCCAACCUACUGCUUAACUCUACUCAGUUUCCAUUUCCUUCCUCUGGCUAAGGUCACCUGGACUUUCCUCUGGGGAACCCCUCUAAGUCCAGCUCUAGGAAGGGGCCUGGCCACUCCAGAGCAACAGUGACUGGUUCAGGGAUGGUCACAUGACUUCUCUGGGCCAAUAAGAGCCUGUCUUGGGAUUUUCGACAAAAGUAGGCAAUGAGCAACUUUCUGCUAGACGAAGGGAAACUAGACAAAGGGAUGAGAGGUUGGAACUGCUGGGUGAAACCACUAACCUCACGGUAAAAUAAAACCAGAGGUGAGGUGGCCCGCUGCCUGGAUCCAGCCGUACCUGAAGUCGGGCACCCCCAGACUAUUAAGGAACAUAAGCAAACAAAUAACUUUUGCUUAUAUGUAGAUGGAUUAUUAGUCCUAACACGGUAUUUCUCUUGCUAAUUCUCCACCAGCCCCAACAUAGCAGCCACACCAAAAUUACCCGAAGUUCUCUGAAGGCUUAUCACGCACUCCUACAAACCGGCUUUUGCCCAGCGCAUACCCAAUACGCGGUCAACUCCUACUCGUCCUUCAAAGUCCAACUCCGGUAUCCUCUCCUCUCUGGAGUGGCUUCCCCUACUCCCCUCACGUUCUCUUCUGGCCUCCCCAAAGCAAUGGUUUCUCUAGUGUUUGUGUCAGAACCCCCGUCCCCCACAGACAGGGGCUCCUUGUGUCUCCGUGUCCAGCACCGGGCCUGGCACGGAGUAGGCACAGGUCAAUGACUGUUUAUUGAAUAAAUGUGCUACUGGAGUUAAGAA